rnacentral:hammerhead_ribozyme from 1 species
AUCCAGCUGACGAGUCCUAAAUGGGACGAAACGCGCGUCCUGCAU